AGUUACACUCUGUUGAUUCAAAAGAAGGUUGUUUGUCCAAGCUUGUCCAAGUCAGUUUCAAGAGGCUCAGCCACCAAAAGUUUCAUCAAAGAGGAAGCCAAGGUCAUCAGUAAAGCCUCACGAGAGCUACCUGGAACGGGCAGGAAAGAAAAAUGCAGAUAAGAAAAUUAAAACCACAGACUCCUGGGCAGCGAACAAGAGCCUUCUGAUCCUAAUUCGAUCUGGAGUUAAGAAUGAAGGGGAUUUCUGUAGCAGUUUCUUUUGCAUAGCAGAGCUCCGACUUUUCCAGCAACAGCGUGUCCCUGGAAGCUACACAAAGUCCUCUUUGAUUGCCUGUGAUCAAAGCCACGAAGGCUCUCCUGCAACAUCUUAGCUUCAGAAAGCCAGGAAAAUCAGAAUGCUGAGAGUAUAUUAAUAAUUCCUAAACAUAUUUUUAAGGUUCUUCAGGCCUGUCUCAGAGCUAUGGAGGAUGCAGCAAAAGGGAUGCCUUUGAUCUGCUGUCUCUGGAUGCACAAGGAGCUCAGAGAAACAACCAGGACACAGAACAAAACAAAGCAUGGAGCUCUAAUUUAGGGGUUUCAGCUAAGCGAGUCACUCAGCACCAGCACUGCACAGGAGUUCUUACAGCUUCCUUUAUGAGAAAGAUUUGUUCUUCUGUUUAUAGGGUAUCAGAGCCAGGAGGGUGGCUGACUCUGAUGAUAGAACAAGAGCCAAAUAUGCUCCUGAUGCUCCAGUAGAGUGGUCUUCAGGUGAUCGAGAUUCCGAGCUCCCAAACCAAGGCAAGAAUAAGGAAACUGGAACAGGAGGGCAUGCUGGGCUCCAGCCUCCCGUGACAGUGAAACAUUGCCUUAGAAUGACUGUUGUUAAUACAAUUGAGGAAAUAUAACACGUAAUCUUGUGAUUAAGUUAUACACAAUUUGAUUUAAAUUUAGUUCCUGGCAGUUGCUAGGUUUCACUCUGGCAUACUCUCUCAGUGUGGAAGCUGCUGAUUCAGAAAGAGAUGUUCCAAAGCUCAUGUAUUUCCUGGACACAUCCAAGUACUGAAUAAAAUGCUGGUUAAAUAAAUGAGUUAAUUUUCCAAGAAAGACACCAAAAAAAAAAAA
rnacentral:lncRNA from 1 species